UAUGUUGAAAAAUGCGGGGAUGAGCUGUGGAUAGCGGAGAAAUUCCAAUCGAACUCGGAAAUAGCUGGUUCUCCCCGAAAUAGCUUUAGGGCUAGCCUCGUAUUAGAUUACCGGGGGUAGAGCACUGAAUGGGCUAGGGGGCCACAAAGCUUACCGAACCCUAUCAAACUUCGAAUACCGGAUAAUUGAUGUACGGGAGUCAGACGGCGUGAGAUAAGUUUCGUCGUCGAGAGGGAAACAGCCCAGAUCUACGACUAAGGUCCCAAAAUCACAGUUAAGUGGAAAAGGAUGUGCAGUUGCACAAACAACCAGGAUGUUGGCUUAGAAGCAGCCACUCAUUCAAAGAGUGCGUAAUAGCUCACUGGUCGAGUGAUUGUGCGCCGAAAAUGUACCGGGGCUAAACUGUGUACCGAAGUCUAGGGAUUGCGUAAGCAAUCGGUAGGGGAGCAACGUGUGCGGGCUGAAGCCGAAGCGUAAGCGACGGUGGACUGCACGGGAGAGAGAAUGCCGGCAUGAGUAGCGAGAGCAAAGUGAGAAUCUUUGCCGUCGAAAGCCUAAGGUUUCCUGAGGAAGGCUCGUCCACUCAGGGUAAGUCAGGACCUAAGCCGAGGACAGAAGUCGUAGGCGAUGGACAACUGGUUGAUAUUCCAGUACCACCUUUAGCGCAUGACAGAAGCAGUGACACAGAAGGAUAGACAGAGCACGGCGAUGGUAGACCGUGUCUAAGCAGUGAGGCUGGUUGGUAGUAAAGUACGCCAACUAAGGCUGGGCUGUGAUGGGGACCGAAGAUUAGUAGGGAAGCUGUUGAAUUCACGCUGGCGAGAAAAGCUGCUAUGGAGCGAAGAGGUGCCUGUACCGCAAACCGACACAGGUAGGCGAGGAGAGAAUCCUAAGACGAGCGGGAGAACCCUUGUUAAGGAACUCGGCAAAAUGACCCCGUAACUUAGGGAAAAGGGGAGCCUCGAGAGAGGCCGCAGAGAAUAGGCCCAAGCGACUGUUUACCAAAAACACAGGUCUGUGCGAAGUAGAGAUACGACGUAUACGGGCUGACGCCUGCCCAGUGCCGGAAGGUUAAGGGGAAGUGUUAGGGCAACCGAAGCACGGAACUUAAGCCCCGGUGAACGGCGGCCGUAACUAUAACGGUCCUAAGGUAGCGAAAUUCCUUGUCGGGUAAGUUCCGACCCGCACGAAUGGCGUAACGACUUGGGCACUGUCUCAACAAGGGACCCGGCGAAAUUGUAGUAUGUGUGAAGAUGCACAUUACCCGCGAUAGGACGGAAAGACCCCGUAGAGCUUUACUGUAGUUUGACAUUGAAUUUCGGUAACACAUGUACAGGAUAGGUGGGAGACUGGGAAGCGUGAACGCCAGUUUGCGUGGAGCCAACCUUGGGAUACCACUCUUGUGUUACUGAAGUUCUAACGAAUCGCCGUGAUCCGGGAUUUGGACAGUGUCAGAUGGGCAGUUUGACUGGGGCGGUCGCCUCCGAAAGAGUAACGGAGGCGUCCAAAGGUUCCCUCAGAAUGGUUGGAAACCAUUCGCAGAGUGUAAAGGCAGAAGGGAGCUUGACUGCGAGACCGACAGGUCGAGCAGGUACGAAAGUAGGGCUUAGUGAUCCGGCGGUAUGAGAGUGGA
rnacentral:rRNA from 1 species